CUUGUUUUGAAGACAUUUUAAGGUCUACUAUCGAGAGCUUUUCAGAGAACCAAUGAGGAAAAUGGCAAUCAAACUAAUUUUGUUCUGUUUGUGUUUGUGGCGUCUGGUUGGUGUGUUUGGUGAUGAAGUGAAGUCAGUGUCAGUGAUGGAGGGAGGUUCAGUCAAACUCUGAUCUUACUGAAAUACAGACUUUUGAUCUGAUAAUGUGGAGGUUUGGACCGAACGACGUGCUCAUAGCUAAACUCGUUGGAGGGUACAUCUAUUUAUAUGAUGGUAUUGAGGCAUUCGGGGACAGACUGAAACUGGACAAUCAGACUGGAUCUCUGACCAUCACAAACAUCACAACCACACACUCUGGACUUUAUACAGUAAACAUCUUUAGCCAAAGAAUGAUCAGAUCUAGAUUCAAUGUUACUGUCUAUGCUCGUCUGCCUGUUCCUGUCAUCAGCGGUAACUCUUCACAAUGUUCAUCAUCAUCAUCAU